UGUGAGGGGCAGGAAGGACAAAUGUCAUAAACCUGUGUGACAUUCCAGAUCCUCAAGGAACCAAGGGGCCAGUGUGACACUGUGGGAAGUUGUGGAACCAAGGGGAUUGUCAUGGCACUGUUGGGACCCAUGGAACCAAGGGGCCAAUGUGACACUCUGGGGUCUCAUGGAAACAAGAGGCCAUUGUGAGCCUGCAGGGCUGUAACACCCCCAGAACACUGAAAUGCUGGGGGGAACCAAAGGUUCCUUCCCUUGAGUUUGGUGCACAGAAGAAACACCAACCAGAUAUUCUCAACAUAGGCAGAUGCAAAGAAUAUUCUUGGUAGGAAGGGACUCACAAGGUCAUCAAGUCCAGCUCUUAAGUGAAUGGCCCACACAGGGAUUGAACCCACAGCCUUAGUGAUAUCAGCACCAUGCUCUAACCAACUGAGUUAAGAGGUCAAAAUGACACAAAAUUUACUGGCAAAAUAUAGACAAUCAAGGAACUUUGGCAAAGGGUUUAAUACAACAUCCACUUCAACACAAAACUCUUAGCAUUGACUUCAUUAACUCAGCCCAUUUAACCUAAAAACCUUUAAGCCUUAAGAUGUUAAGUUACCCAAAAAUGUUCCAGGUAAGUAGAAGAAAUAGAGAACAACAGAAAGACACAAGAUCUAAACAAAGACAUGCACAUAGGUACCAACUGCUCAGGUUCCAGCGUCGCUAAGAGAGGAACUCCAGGAGAAGGCAGGAUCCAGACCAUGGGCUGGCCUCAUGGUCUGGCUUGUAUCACCCUGGGCCUUCAUGGGCCCACCCCUGGGGUGGGACUGCCAGUUGCUUGCCCAAUCAGAGUCAAGCUGAUAGUGUGUGAUUGAUUGACAGCAAAUCAGAGCUGGGUUAGCACUGCCUGCUGUGUGAUUGAUUGAUUUAUUGACAUCUCAGCCAAUCAGACCUGGGUUAGCACCGCUCCUGCUGUGUGAUUGACAGCUCUGCCAGGGCUGGGGGCAGGGCUCCGACCCACCACAAACCAAGGCCUGACCUGGCCCCACACGGGCGUUCCGAGCAUCCCAAGGUGUCUCAGGACAUCGAUCUCAUCCAGCCUCUGACAGUGACCAUGGUGAUACUAUGGAACCUCAUAGAACUAUGGGUCAGUUGGAACAAUGAGGGUCCAAGGACACCAUGGUGACACUACAGAACCUCAUGGAACCAAGGGGCCAUGGUGACACUGUGGUGCCUCGUGGAAUCAAGGAGACUAUUGUGAAACCUGGGGGCCCCAAGGAGCCAAGGGUCCAUAGUGACCUUGUGGAGCCCAUAGUGUCACGGAGGAGCCAUUGUGACACAGCGAGGGCACAUGGAGCUGAGGGGCCAUGGUGACACAUCAGGACUUUGUGGAACCAUUAAGCCAUUGUGACAUUGCAAGGUCUCAUGGAAGCACCGGGCCAUUGUGACACUGCAGAAGCAAGGGAGCUUUGUAACACUCCAGGGCCUGAUGGAACCAAGGAGACCUUUAUGACACUGUGGGGUUCCACAAAACCAAGGGAACAUGGAACUGUUCUGUCUGGCUGGGCCUCCUGGGGGCUGUCUGACUGGUCCAGCUGACCUUGGCAUGUUGAGGGCUGCUUCUCAUCUGUGCCUGAAGCACUGGGGCUCUGGGAUUUAUUUCCUCUGGGAGAGAACUGUGCUUCUCCUCCAGAGGCCCACUGCCAAAAUUGGGAUUCCUCCUCCAAAUUUCCUUAUAUGCAAAUAUUGUUCCCAGAUGAAAUCUGCCAGGACAGACAGGUCUGGUUGCCUUGGCCACCUGGGUGCCUUGUCUCAUCUGCCUUUGAAACACUGGGACCAUGUGCUUUUCUUUCUUGGCCAUACUCAACCAGGCGUCUCUGGCCAAAACUGGGGAAUCUGCCUCCAGAAUUCCCUAUAUACAAGGAUAGCUUGCAGAUAAAAGCUGCCAGGACUGAUAAGUCUGACUGGCCUUGACUUCCUGAGGGUUGACACUCAUCUGCCUUUGAAACAAUGGGGCUCUGUGCUUUCCUUCCUAAUAAAAAGAACUCUUCUUCCUGUCUAGGUGCCCACAGCCAAAACUGAGAUUCCACCUCCAAAAUGCCCUAUGUCCAAGGAUAGCCCCUAGACGAAGAGUGCAAGGAGAGACAGGUGUGGCUGGCUUGACCUAAGGGUGGCCACCUCUCAUCUCCUUCCAGAACACUUGGACUUUGUGCUUUUCUUUCCUAUUGGAAAAAAACCACAUCCAUCUUGACCAGGUGCACAUGGCCAAAAUUGCGAUUCCACCUCCAAAACUCCAUACAGCCAAGAAUUGCUCCCCAGUGAAAGCAGCCAGGACAGACAGGUCUGGCUGCCCUUGGCCUCUUGGGGGCUGCCUCUCAUCUGCUUUCAAAACACUGGGGCUCUGGGUUUUCCUUCCAGUGGAAAAGAACUGUCCUUCUUCUCAAGGUGUCCACUGUCAAAAUUGAGAUUCCUCCUCCCAAAUUCCAUAUAUCCAAGGAUUCCUCCAUGACAAAAGCUUCCAAGACAGAGAGGUCUGGCUGGCAUAGGCCUCCAAUGGCCACCUUUCAUCUGUGUCUCAAACACUGGUGUUCUAUGCUUUCCUUCCUAUGAAAAUAACCAUCUUCUCCUCUGCAUGUCCAUGUCUGAAAUUGGGAUUCCACCUCUGAAAUUUUGUAUAUCCUAGGGUUGCUCCCAGGCAAAAUCUGCCAGUACCAUCAAGUCUGUCUGGCCUUGGUCCCUGGUGACUGCCCCUGAAACACUGGGGCUCAGAUCUUUCCUUCCCAUGGAGAUCAUUGGGACACUGUGGGGACCUCAUGAAACCAAGGGACCAGCCCCAGGCCGGGCCGGCUCGGCCAAGAUUCUGCCACUGUUGGGGUUCACCCACAACCACUGGGCAGGGGGAGGAGAAGCCAUUGGCCCCGGCCGUGCUGCUGCUGUGUUCUGGCCUGGCUGCUGAGAUCAUGGCCCUCCCCCCAGCGUGGCCCAUCCUGACACAGCCCCAGCACAGCCGCUGCAGAAACCUCCAUGGUAAAACAGCUCCGGCCGCAAGGACUGAGCCCAGACGCGGUCACAUAACCGUCUGCAGGCCCUGGGUGAGAUAUUAACUCUUUCAGUGCUUCCAUCCUCCCUUGAGUGAGAGAAAAGGACAAAGUGAAGGCACACAGAGGAGCAACAUGAAGACACAGAGGUCAGUGAAGAGUGUCACGAUCCAUCCUCACGAAUGGGUAUCAUAGUGGUUUGUUAAUUGAUCUCAGAGUGCAAAAAACUGACACAGCAAGAGGGGUUUGCAGUGAUAAUCAAAAGCAAAUGUACCUUUAUUGAAUGACCACAGCAAAAUGUGUUGGGGGGAACUGGGGAGAAAGGGAAAGAAUAAGGAAAAAGAGAGGAGAGAGAAAGGAAGGUAUAUAGCUACCAAACGUGGAACUAUAUAGUCCUUUGCAGUCCAGUCGACGGAGCUUGUCAUAGUCACAUCAGGGGAGAUCUCAGGGAUGCUAGUCAAUUCUAAUAUUUAUUAUAGUCUUUUUGACUGGGGGAAGGGGACACGUUUCAAAAUCAAAUCAAAUGUAAUAAAUAAUAGUCUAUUGAAGAAGGGUACAAAUAGUCCAUAUUUUCAGCAGUAGGUGAGAACCAUUGUCUUCUUGGUCCAGUGGUCACAACCUGCAGGCAAACAUCUUGGUUUGGUCAGCUUGCCUCCCCCUCACACCUUCCCCCGGUUAGAUGGUUUCGGUCUCAGUCCUUGGCAGGAAGGGAGAGCUUUUCCAUCAUGUCCCAGUCCUUGAGGGAGAGGCUUCUACCACCUCAGUAGAAGGGGUGGUAGAUGAAGGGUCUUCUGUGGCGACCACCGAAAGGUCACUCCAGAAAAGUCCAGCCAAGCUGGGAGGUGGGAAAAUUCCAGGAGCACUGUUGUCAAGUGAUACAGGUGAAGAGAAGGGCACAGUGCCCCUUUUCUCUUUUCAGUUGGUGCAGUGUUCCAUGGGGUGGGCAAACACACCUGUGAACAAUGACCUGGCAAGACACAAGCUUUGCUCAGGCUUCCGGGUCUUGGUGGGUGACAAUUCAGGCAGGACCAGGAUCCCAAAACAGGAUCCUUCUUUUUUUGGUAGUCCCGCUUUCUGUCCUUUUCACAAUGAUCAUGAGGCAAAUGAGAGAAAUUUCAGACAGAGACUUACACGACCCCCUGACUCAUGAUUGUCUUGAAAGGAUCUUCAUCAGCAGAUUUCUGGAGCAUCAUUGUCUGUUCAACCCCUUUUGGGAAAAUUGACGGUCUAGGUGUGGCUGACAUGAAACUUCCUUCCACCUGGUACAGACUACACACAAGCUGCAGACUCCUCUGUCUUCAGAAUCCUGUCCAUGACACCAAUUUAAUGUCACAAGCCAUCCUUACAAACGGGUUUCGUGAUGCUUUGUUACUGAUCUCAGGGUGCAAAAAACUGACAUGACAAGGGGGUUUGCAGUGAUAGUCAAGAACAAAUGUACCUUUAUUGAAUGACCACAGCAAAAUGCAUUAGGGAGGGGGGAAUGAGGAAAAAGGGAAAGAAUAAGGAAAAAGAGGGGGGGAAAGAAAAGGAAACAUGGAGUGACAUAGUCCUUCAAAGUCCAGUUGACAAAGUUUGUCAUAUGUGUUGCCUUAUAAGGCGUGACGACCUGGUUCCAAGGAAACGCAGCACGACGACCCAAUGCUUUUUGGGCCGUUCGGGCUAAGGACACGCAGACAUCAAUAUGAUAGACGGUCCAAGAGCCCUUUAUUGGUUUUCUCCUCAGUAUAUAUACCCUUGGUCCUCCUACCUUCCGGGGUCUGACUUUUGCCUUAUAUGGUUAGUAAGGAAACUGGGUGGAGGCCGUGUUAGGGGGGGUUACAUUCUUGGCCUUUUGUCCUGCGGCUAUCUCUUAUCUCUAGGUAGUCAGGGGAGAGAGGCCCUAUCAGGUUUCCGUGACAGCCCGAAAUCUUCCGAUCGCCUGUCCCUAUUCUCUCUGCCACACGUACGCACGUCAGGAGAGAUCUCAAAAUCUCUAGCUAACUCAGGGGUUUUUAUUAUGAUAACUCUAUUGAAAAUUGCAAAGGAGGGGGAAACAGAUACAAUAGUCCAUGUUCUCAGCAAUGGGAGAGAACCAUUGUCUUCUUGGUCCAGUGAUCAGCAAACAUCUUGGUUUGGUCAGCUUGCCUCCCCCACACACCUUCGCCCCUGUGUUAGGGUUUCAGUCUCAGUCCUUGGGAGGAAGGGGGAGCUCUUCCAUAUGGGGAUCUCAUGUCUCAGUCCUUGAGGGAGAGGCUUAUGCCAUCUCAGUCCAUCUGUCACGGUGGUUGUACAGUAGAUGAAGGGUCUUCAGUGGAGACCACCGAAAAGGUCAUUCCAGGGAAAAGUCCAGCCAAGUCGGGAGGUGGGGAAAUUCCAGAACUAGUGUUAUAAAGUGAUGCAGGCAAAGAAGGGCACAGCGCCCCUUUUCCUUUCACUGGACUCCUUUUUCCUGGGAUCAAGGACUCCCUGGAACUCCCCUCUACCUCUCCACAUCCCUGCCCCCCCCAUUUCUGUGAUCCUGAGAUCCCCCUGCACCCCCAUUCCAGAGAACCCAGACGCCCUUUUACCCCUAUGUCCAGCACUGAGACCCCCCUGCACCCCCUUAUCCAGCACCAAUUCAACCUUUUCCCGGUCCCCUGCCUCUCCCAGCCCCAGCCCCACCUUCUUCUCUGACCUGGGACCCCUGGGCCCCCAUUCCUGCCUUUCCCAGCCCCCAGCCUCUCCCCUCCUCAUACUGAGGAGCCCUGGCACCCCCUUUCCUGGAUUCCCUGGACACCCCAUCCCAGUUCUCCCAGUCCUUGCAUCCCCUGUCCUUGACUCUGAGCCCCUGAGCCUCCUUCACAGAUCUGCCAGCUCUCCACGUUCCCCCUUUCCUUGGACUGUGGACCCCCCUGGAUCCCCAAACUCUCACUUUCAGCCUCCCACCUCCCCCAAAUCUCCUUGUCCCCCCCUCCCCCCAGUUCUCCAGGAUAUUGGGAUAGCCAGAGCCGGGAUAUUGAGAUAGCCAAACCUUGGAUAUUGGGAUAGCCAGAGCUGGGAUAUUGGGAUAGCCAGAGCUGGGACAUUGGGAUAGCCAGAGCUGGGAUACUGGGAUAGCCAGAGCUGGGAUACUGGGAUAGAGAGAGCUGGCUCAAGGACAGGAACAGCCCUUUGGCCGACAGUGACCUGGAGACAGGGCUGGUACAACCAGAGUGGGGGGAGUGGGGGAAGCUGGGGGCUGAGCUGGGAUCUGUGGGAAUGGAGGACUGAGGAGCUGGGAUGUGAUCUCUGGGGAUGGGGGGAGUCUGUGGGGCUGGAAUGGAAAUCCAGGGAACUCCAAGGGGCUCUGUAGGACUGGGACACAACUCCAUGGGUCCGUUCUCUCCUCGUUCCCAGGUCUCCACACGCUGCAGGUAGUUUCCACCUGUGACUUCCUGUCCAACAGAGCAUCCAUGGAUCCUACUGGUAAGGCUACAAGAGCUGGGAUUUAAUCUCCUUCCAGCUGGGAGCCAGGAGCUUUGUAGGGUCCUAUGUUGCCACCUGGAUCACCCAGAGGUGCUGGGAAUCCAAAGGGAUCAUGGUGGAGCAGACGAAGCAUUACCUGGCACACACCUGUGUGGAAGUGCCCCAAAAUACAUCAGAUAUGGUUGGGAGGCUCUGGAGUACAAAGCAGCCACUGCCGUUUCCCG